CAGUCGCCACGGUAAAACGGAGGGUGCAAGCGUUAAUCGGAAUUACUGGGCGUAAAGCGCACGCAGGCGGUCUGUCAAGUCGGAUGUGAAAUCCCCGGGCUCAACCUGGGAACUGCAUUCGAAACUGGCAGGCUAGAGUCUUGUAGAGGGGGGUAGAAUUCCAGGUGUAGCGGUGAAAUGCGUAGAGAUCUGGAGGAAUACCGGUGGCGAAGGCGGCCCCCUGGACAAAGACUGACGCUCAGGUGCGAAAGCGUGGGGAGCAAACAGGAUUAGAUACCCCUGUAGUCCCUGUCUCUUAUAC
rnacentral:rRNA from 1 species